UGUAAUUGUAACUUAUUCUGGGAGAUACUAUGAGUGUUCCACAACCAACAAUCUCCUGCAUAUAAAAUUUCCAAGGGAUCCAGACAAUUACAUUGAAAAUUGCUGGUUAUUCAAUAAUCUUGGACAGGGAAACAGAGAGGAAGAUUUGACGAACAAACGAGAUGCCACAUUCCAUGACGAAUAUAUCUUUGACCAUAUGAUCGAAGUGGAUGGUGACAAUCAUCCGAGUAUAAACACCACUGAGGAAAUUAAUUAUAUUACGACCACAAUUAAUGAUCAGGGUCUUGAAGAAGGUCAUUACUAAUCAUUCCCCAAAAUGCAAAAGGCAUGAAAUUGAUGAGAUCGUGGAUGGUACACUGCAGCGACGAAGACCAAUCAUUCUUGACGCUCCAAAGAUGGAUUAUGAUGAAAGGAAACUGAAAUUAGAACGUAUUAGAAAAUUAGAAAAUUUUAUAUGAAUAAAUUAUUGAAAAGAUAAUUUUUUAUACCUA